rnacentral:piRNA from 1 species
UAACGAGCAGUAGGACUUAGUAAGU